ensembl:snRNA U6 U6 spliceosomal RNA
AUGUUCACUUCUGCAGCAUGUAUACUAAAACUAGAACAAUACAGAGAAGAUUAGCAUGGCCCCUAUGCAAGGAUGACAUGCAAAUUCAUGAAACAUUCCAUAUCUUU